GCCUAACACAUGCAAGUCGAACGAGAAUCUUUGGAAUGAUUCUUUCGGGAUGAAUUCUAAAGAGGAAAGUGGCGGACGGGCGAGUAACGCGUGAGUAACCUGCCCAUAAGAGGGGGAUAAUCCAUGGAAACGUGGACUAAUACCGCAUAUUGUAGUUAAGUUGCAUGACUUGAUUAUGAAAGAUUUAUCGCUUAUGGAUGGACUCGCGUCAGAUUAGAUAGUCGGUGAGGUAACGGCUCACCAAGUCAACGAUCUGUGGCCGAACUGAGAGGUUGAUCGGCCGCAUUGGGACUGAGACACGGCCCAGACUCCUACGGGAGGCAGCAGUGGGGAAUAUUGCACAAUGGGGGAAACCCUGAUGCAGCAACGCCGCGUGAGUGAUGACGGCCUUCGGGUUGUAAAGCUCUGUCUUCAGGGACGAUAAUGAUGGUACCUGAGGAGGAAGCCACGGCUAACUACGUGCCAGCCGCCGCAGUAA
rnacentral:rRNA from 1 species